CUCAGCGUUAUUGACAUUUUGGGCCCGAUAAUUGUAUGUUGUUGGGGGCAUUUAGGAUGCUUAGCAGUAUCCCUGGCCUCUUCCCACUAAAUGCCAAUAGCACUCCCCCACGUUCUUGACAAUGAAAAAUGUUUCUAGGUAUUGCCAAAUAGCCCCUGGGGCCAAAAUCUCCCCUGGCUGAGAAUCACUGUCUCAGAGCAUUUGGGGUAUGCUUAGGGCAAAGCACAGAGAAACUCCCCUGCCUUCUAGAAGUUUGUGCUUUAGCCACACUGAAUUAUAGUGAUAGAGAUCACAGCUGAGUUGAUAAGAUAACAGCAUUUCAAUGCCAUGACUCUCUCAGGGUUUAAAAACCAUCAGGCCAGCCCCUACACUCCACCUCUGAGAUCUGUUCACCUGUGCUGCUGCAGAUUUGCACUAGGCAAAUGUUGUGUUUGAAUGGAUAAGACCAUCCGUGCCGGUUCAGAGAGCUGCAUCACAGCAAGUCUCUCAUGUCUCGAGCUCUGUGAUCACUAUCCCUGGUUUCCCUUUUCUGUGGCAGAAAUCUAAAAGGGGAGUCCUGAAACCAAGUGAAAUCCUGUGUACUACUUCAGAGCAAGAAACGCUGGGUCCCAGAAACACAAGGCAGACAACAGCUGCAGCUGAAAGGGAGCUGCUCCGGUUCCGCACUGCGCUGGGUGGGGCUGGGGCCAUGCGCCACACUUUGGGUGUGUUGACUGCAGUCCCCAGGCAGAAGCGGGGAGAUUCAGGACACAUUGCCAUCUCACGGCUGUGCUUUUCCUUGGUCCUUCAUGUUAGUUUAGGGGAAGUUUUCUCAUACAAAAUGACUCCCAGGAGCUCCGUCAGGAACCAAAAAAUAAAUAAAUAAAACAAAAACACAAACACAACCAAAACCCACUGCCUUCUCAAGAGGGCAAGCUAGGAUGAGGGGUCUGGUGCCAUUGUUAUCUUUGCCAGCGUAGGCCAGACAGAAGGGCUACCGCUAGCCCUGGUGCCAGCCAGAGCCCUGUGACGCUGCCUCCCAUGGGUCCUGAAUCUGAGGCACCUGGAAGGGUUAUUAGCAGGAUUGGAACUCAUCCCUCUGCUGGGACUAGAUCAUAAUUACAGUAAUUUUCUAACAGAGCUCGGCAGUAGGACUGUUUAAUCAGCAUCUGACUCCCUUGUGCUCCCAGCCCUCAUCACUCAAGGAGAGGAGUGGGAUGGCUCUUAAAGAGACAGUGCCCGCCUUUCAGCGUUUUGAACAGAUGUGCCCUAAUUGGUAGAAUAUAUCUAAGUCUCAUAGCUUAUAGCAGGCAGGUUGUGUUGCCUCCAACAAACUGCCUCGGGCUCUCACUACUCCAGGCUUUCUGCCGGAAGGAAGGACCCGGUCUGGUUGCUGGUGGGCCUGGCUUCCCACACCAGCACAACCACCAGGGGAAGGAACACACGUAGGGCUACAGCACUGAUGAAGGAUCUGAACAAGCUGGCCCCUUCUUAACUGAUGGUAUGAAAGAAAAAGUGCUUGGCUAAAGGACAGGAAGGAGGGACUUGACACCCAUUCAUGAAAAAGAAAUUUUGGCCGGUGGCUUUCCAUAAUCCAGAGAUUACAAAAGCAUCUUGUGCUCCUGUCCUUCCAGUGGAAAAAACCUUAAAGACUUUCCAGUAGUCUCUUAACUCUCACACUUUGGCUUCACCAACUUCCUCUGCUUAUUUUCUGUGCCCCUUUCACAACCAUGAAAGUACCUUUGCCUUUCUUUUUCCUCCCCCUUUGCUGGUAGUAGAGCAGAUCUCCCCUGAACCAAAGGUAAAUAAAAUUAUUCACUGUGCUUACUGAGUCAGGAGUACUCUGUUUCCUAAAAAGUGUGGCUCUUGCUAACCUUUUGAGCGUAACUUGUCUGUGUUUAUUAUGAGAUUUGAGGUCUCCAGCUGCAAAUCCAGUCACGGCUAAGGUGGAAAUGUUUUUCCCAGCAAGAAUUUCUCUAAGAAGAUGCUGACUGCUUCUACCACUCUGUUGCACCUGGCACCUCAGACAGGCUUGAGGAUGGAAGCAGCAUCAGGUAAAUUAUACUAACAAGGUUCAUGCCCAGAACUGUGAGAAGAGCUGAAUCCCAGCUCUUUGGAAGACAAUCCUUCCUCCAGUGGUGAACUUGAGCUGCACACACAAUGCAGGAGAGCCGCAGUGCACAAUUCUGAACCAUUAUUUCCACGCUGAUAAAUUCAUGAUUUAUGAAAGUAUGUACCGCCAGCCCUCACUCCCUCCUUCUCUGCUACAGCUUGUUAGACACAAAUUGCAACAACAGUCUUAAAUACUUGCAUUUUAUUUCAGGCCAAAGCCCCUCAACUCUGAACUAAAUGCCAUGACAGUCCCACAGCAUAGGCUGGUAGUAAAAGAGCCCACAGACAGGGUGGGAUGGCCAUAGGAGGGUGGAGUGGGUGAGUGAACCACACACACAAUCCUAAGAGCAGAGUAAUACACAAUGCCCGCGGCACUCAGCUCCUACCAGGUCUGGCUCUCAGCGGAGAGGAAUAAUGGCAGCAGGAGGGCAGAAUGUCUCAUUGUCUGAAGGAGGGCAUCUUGUUCCUCAUCUCCAUCCCCAGAGCCCUCUCUUCUAGGCAGAAACAAAGCCUUGAGCCCCACUGGACUGAACAUACGGCCUCUCUGCAACACGGCCCAGGGACAUUGGCCGCUGAAGCCCUAGGGGCAGGGAGCUGUUACUAAAAGAGAAGAAAAGGAUUCAAAAAAAAAAGGAGCCCACUCUAAGCCUGCAGAAAAGAUAGCCAUGUCUCUGCUUUAUAACUAGAAGAGACUGUGUCAGCCCGGACAGCCUUUCCAAAACAAAGGCCCCUGAGCUGUUGCCUCUCUAUUGGGCUGUGGCCGACCACUCCUUUCUCAUGGAUGAGGCCCCACUCAGCCAGGCUGAGGUCUUGGGAUAGGCCAGAAACCCCAGCAGCAGAAGUCACAGCACCAGUUCCAUUCAGUGCUAUUAGUGGAGGCAAGAGCAAGGAGGCAGGAGAGUAAAUACUCACUGCCUUGUCCAUGCAAGGAGGUAGGCAAGAGGCCAGCCUCCCAGAAACAAAGUGCUUCAGAGGCUACAGUAAAAACAGAAGCCAGGCAAAAUCGGAAUACAAGUACAUAAACGUUCCUGUUGAGACAAUAUUCAAUACGGCAGCUUAGAAUCUGCCACUUAUAGGUCCCCAAAACCAGUCACCUGAGGAGGUGCUCCUGGGCCUAUAAACACAUCAUCUGAAGAAAUUCACUUCCCAGGAGAGUAAAUAUGGGUUUCUGUUCAAAAUCAACAGCCCCUGGGCCUUAUGCUUAACUUCCAAACAUCUGCACAGUGUUUAUUCCUAUGGAGGAGGCACAAGGGGCUAUCAUGAUCGACCUCUGUGCAGCCAGCCUGAGCAGAGGCAACUGUAAGACACUAAACGGCCCAGCCUCCCCCUACACCUGCCUGUGCCCAGUCCCACCUGAGUAAGUCUCCUGGCCUGCUUCUUCUCUGUCUGCCUUGGAGCAGAACCCAGAGCUCAGACCAGAGCUCACUUCUCUAAAACUGUUUCUAACUGACCAGGGUCCAAAGGCACAGCGUGGUCCCCUCCUGUGGCCCUCCUUACAGACGGAGGAGUGGAGCUUCCCUCAUCAGGUCUUGCGAAAUCACAGCAUGAUGGUUUCAAUAGGAGCCCUGCUAUUCAGUGGUGGAAUAACACAAAUCCACCUAGAAUAGAGAACCAUACACACAGAGAACAAGGCCUUUCUGAAAGGCUAUCAGUGCUGUGAUGUUACUUUCCCUAACAAAUGGAGACCCCCUGGCCCAAGUUACAGCAAUCCUAGCCCCUGUGUUUCAGAAAAGUGCUUCAGUUACCUCUUAGGCUGGUCUCCUUUAGCCAGAUGAGAAGAGCUCUGCCUCUCUUCCUGGGCCCAGCCACAGUUUGACAUAGCAUAGUGAAGAAUGGCAUCAGAAACACUCAUGGAGCUUCGGCCCUGGACACAGGCCUCUAUCUCGGGCACGGAGAGCUGGCUUUGCAGGAAGAGGUGCAACUGGCUGUCUGACAGGAGAACCACGCUCUGCAGGACCCUGAGACAAACAUAGGUAGCACAAUACAGAGCACCACCCUGAGGAUUUGCUCUUCAUCACCAUCCUUUGAAGGGCUUCUGGCUUGAGGGAGCACUGAAGGCAUGAGGACGCAACAAAGGUACCUACCACUAAGGUGCCUACCUGAGCGGGGAGCCCCAUCCUGCCCAGCACCUUCCCCUGCCCUUUUCUUCACCCCCAGCGGACAGCACUAGCCCGGCAUGUCCACUCACUUUUCGAGGAAGUGCUGCAGACCUUGUCGUCGCUUCUCAAUGAACUCAUCUGAGCUGCCAAAGAAGGUUGACUUUCCAGGAAGUUCAGUCUUCUGUCUUGGGCCUUCUGGAAAUACCCACAAACAGGUUCCACCUCAGCACAAGCCCUCAGCCCUGGGGAGUGUUGACCCCAAUACAGAAGCCUGAUGCACUCACAUGGAGGAAUAUCUUAUAAUCCACAUAAGAAUUCCAGGAGCCCUCAUUCUGCACUCGGGGGUCCUGAACACGCACCGUGAUCACCUCCUGUAGACCACAUUCUUACCUCCUGUUCUUGGUUCUCCAACAUCCUACACCAAAAGCCCAUUGGAAGAAAACAUCUGGUGAGAGACAGAGGACAUGGCAAAAAUUAUGGCAUAUGGUAAAUUGCCAGCACAGGAACAGAGUUAAAUAUUCUAAAGUGUCUUUUCACAAAAGUAACAACAGCAAAGAUGAUGACAAGGAAAUCAUGGUCAUCCACACUGAGUGGAGCUUUCACAUCUCCUGUGCCUUGAAAGGUUUGCCAAAUUCAAAACCAUAAUUUAGUAACUAAAUGAUCAUCAUACCCUUGGUCUCUAGAAGAGUUUGCACAGGGCCCCGCACUACCUCCAUGAGGAAGUUCUUUCCUUUGGGGCCAAUACCACUUAGAAACAAAUAGCUAUAAACUGGCUUUAAAAAAAAACAACUCAGGACCUCCAAAAUGCUAUAUACUUAAAUCUAAGGUUAAAGGACACCAAGAAAGUUUCAGUUUUAACUUUCCAUAAAAACAAUGGAACAAGUACAAUAACCUACAUUCCAAGUAAUCACUUCUAGCAACCAUUAUUCUCUAUCGGCUUCCUCCACAGAAGAAAAUGAAGCUCAGUUCUGCCUUUAGAGGAGAAGCAGGAAGUUCUUAACUUCAGCUCUAUGAUCUGGGAAGUGGGUCUGUGUGUCAUCCAAAUAAAGAGAAUCAGUGACCCUCCCUGCUAGUUAUGUAACUUACUCAGUGCUAACUACAUUUCCUGGGCCCUUUUCAACACAUCUGAAGUUUCUUUUACUUGCUCCACCUCUAGCAGCACCAACAGCUCUGGUGAGACCCCGGUUGUUUGGUGUUUACAAUGAAGAUUCAUCGUAAAGCUUUCCAAUGUCUUAACAAUUCAAGAUAGCAAUUCAAGGCUUUAGCCUCACUAUUUUCUCUCCCAUUUAAACUACUUCAAGAAACAGGUUAAAAAACAAAUCGUGUGAUAAAAGCAGAUUGAGCCGAGACUCCUGGCCUUCUUAUUCAUGCUGGAGCCCUUGGUGCCAGAUGGCAGAUGGCAACUCAAAAAGCCCUCCUUCCUAAAUACCCACAGGUGCUAGAGGAAGCUUCCCUGUCUGACCAAGCUCUGUGUGAUCUCAACCAGUAUAUUCCAUCUUUUCGUCCAUCUGUAACCUGCUCUGCUCCUCCUUCCACUUGGAAGCUCCCGCCUUUAUCCCGGAUGGUGAGACAGACCCUUCCCCAGGAUGUAAAGCGAGACCACCAUCCCAAGUGCCACUACUGACGCUCAAGCCCGCUGCUCCUCACCUGAGAGCAGCACCCACUCCCUGGGGUCCCGCCCAUGCCCCCUCACCUGAGAGCAGCACCAGCUCCCCACAGCGACACCGCCCGCGCCCCACCAUAUAGCCAGAAUCACGGCUUCUGCUUCCGGGUCCCGGCUCUCCGUGGCGAUUCCCGCUCCAGAGCAGCGCAGCUCCGCCCCGCCCAGGCCCCAGGCUGGAGUCCGGAUUCCCCCUCUUCAACUCACUUGGGGUGCUGGAAGGUGGACGCGGGUGCUGGGUAAGAGGUGGCAACUGGGCUCCGGCGUCCAAUCCAGGGCCGCGUCCCGCCCACCGUCGUCAGGUGCAGCCAAUCAGCGCCCAGGGAGCAUCCUUAAAGGUCUGCAGUGGGUCCUGGGAGCAGAGAGGUUUGAGGAGGUUGUCACUCUCCUGCCCUUUCUAAGAAUGCCACCGGCUGUCGAGGUGGGGGGCGGGAGGGAACGCCCAUAUUCCUGGAGCCUAACUCUGGAGAGAGCCCGCAUUUGAACCCCGUAGAUUGCAGUUCCCCAGCGGAGCGAUCAAGGGGACUCCAACUCAGAUUCAUAAAGCCGCAAAUUGAUUGUCAGAGCGAAAACCGGACUUGAGAGGUUCUAGCAACUCGAAUUGCACUCGCCGAAACAAACCCAAAGGAUCAUGCAACUAGUCAGUAAGCAAAAGAAAGCCGUUGAAUAUGUUGAGGACCAUUUUGGCGUUGUUAAAAUGUCUUUUAACAACUUGUUUAAAGAUAAUUUUAGCAAAGAUAUUAUCAAGGAAAAGGUUAUGGUCACAGAUGCAAGCCCUGGAGUUAGACGACCUGAACACAAUACCCAUCACUACACAGACUGUGUGGCCUUGAACUGGUUCUAAAUCUUUAUAGGACGUAAAAAAUACAAUGGUAGUUUCCUUAUACGUAAGGUGGAGAUUAUUGCACAUGAUCUCAAAGCAGCAUUUCUCAAACUUUUUGGUCUCAGGAUUUGUUUACACAAACCCCUAAAAAAUAUUAAGGACCCCAAGGAGCUUUUGUUUAUGUGGGAUAUUCACUGAAUUAGAAAUUAAAAUGAGAAAUUCAAAAAUACGUAUUAAUUCAUUUAAAACAAUAAUAAUAAAUCAUUAUGUGUUAACGUAUUUUAUGAAGUAUAUUUUCCAAAACAAAAAAAUUAGUGAGUA